ACGGAAGGUCCAGGCGUUAUCCGGAUUUAUUGGGUUUAAAGGGAGCGUAGGCUGGAGAUUAAGUGUGUUGUGAAAUGUAGACGCUCAACGUCUGAAUUGCAGCGCAUACUGGUUUCCUUGAGUACGCACAACGUUGGCGGAAUUCGUCGUGUAGCGGUGAAAUGCUUAGAUAUGACGAAGAACUCCGAUUGCGAAGGCAGCUGACGGGAGCGCAACUGACGCUUAAGCUCGAAGGUGCGGGUAUCAAACAGGAUUAGAUACCCCUGU
rnacentral:rRNA from 1 species